GUCUAAACCAGGACUAAACCAGGUCUAAACCAGGUCUAAACCAGGUCUGAACCAGGACUGAACCAGGUCUAAACCAGGUCUAAACCAGGUCUAAACCAGGUCUAAACCAGGACUAAACCAGGACUAAACCAGGUCUAAACCAGGACUGAACCAGGUCUAAACCAGGUCUAAACCAGGACUGAACCAGGACUAAACCAGGUCUAAACCAGGUCUAAACCAGGUCUAAACCAGGUCUAAACCAGGUCUAAACCAGGUCUAAACCAGGUCUAAACCAGGACUGAACCAGGUCUAAACCAGGUCUAAACCACGUCUAAACCAGGACUAAACCAGGACUAAACCAGGACUAAACCAGGUCUAAACCAGGACUAAACCAGGACUAAACCAGGUCUAAACCAGGACUAAACCAGGACUAAACCAGGUCUAAACCAGGACUGAACCAGGACUAAACCAGGACUAAACCAGGUCUAAACCAGGACUAAACCAGGUCUAAACCAGGUCUAAACCAGGACUAAACCAGGACUAAACCAGGACUAAACCAGGUCUAAACCAGGACUAAACCAGGUCUAAACCAGGACUAAUCCAGGACUAAACCAGGACUAAACCAGGUCUAAAC
ensembl:lncRNA